CAGGAAGGUCUGCUUACUACCUCUACUUUUAUGCAGCCUCUCCAAAAGCAAGUGAGAGGAGAAAAUGCUCAGAAGCAGAUGCUGCAGAACCUGCUGUGGGCUGCUGCUGAACUUCUGUCCUUGGUGCCUGAUAAGCUCUUCACUAAGUCAAGAGUGAAAGUGGGAAAGCAGUGUACCUCCUGCUCAUCUGAUCACUUGUAUUCACACCUUUGGGAUUUCAGUGGAUUUUUCCCUGGGAUUUCAGUAGGAUUUCAGUGAGCUUUUGUAAGGUGUGUGUGUGUGUGUGUGAAAUACUGACACUUUUUCUUUGUAUUGUUGAUGGACUCUGCUGCAUUGAGCAAUGGGACUGGUCCUCUCGUCUCCACAGAGAGCGCUGCUGGCUGUCUCAAAUUUCCUUCUCCCAUUGAUUCUGAAGUUCUUUCUCCUAAUGAAGUUGUCAAAACUUGCUUCUGUUUCUUUCUCCCCCCUCACUUUAGCCUUUUUUUUCCUAGUGGUAGCUGAACAGUACUUUGCCACUGCUUGGAUUAUACCUAAAUUUCAUUUAUGUUUGUUCAUUUGAUGAAUGAAGCUCAAGGCCUGGACUCAACUAAAAUGGAUGCUCUUACCUGGCUCCAUCUCUUCACUUAUCUUCUGCCUGGCAAUGUUUCCAGUGGUGACUGGCUGAACACUGGUCCAAAUAUGAACAGGAUGUUUGCAGUUGGAGGCUGAAGGCAUGAUCAGGAUGGUGUGUGUUCCGUUUUGUUCAACUCUAUAUAACAGUUAGGGGAAUGGAUGUAUUCCCAACUGCUUCAGAUAGCUUUAAUAUUAACAAUAGUAAAAAAUGUGCAUUUGACUAAAACACAACACGCAGGGACUGUGUACUUAUCAAAAGUGUGAAAAGCCUGGUAGCAGAGUGCUGAAUAUUGUGACUAUUGCUUUUUGUGUGCUUUCUUCUGGCUGCCAGUAUGAGCUUGGCCUGCAGAUAUUGGGAAAAAAAAAAAACCAAACAAAACACACUUCAAAAUGCAGGAGCUUUAAUUUUAAAGUUGUAGGCGUUUCAGUUGCCUUUGCCUAAAGUAGUUUAAAUUAUAUUUUGUGCUGUUCACAGGCCUUUUCCAGUGAAUGGGCUUGCAGAAUAUAAGGAUGCAUUGCAAUACUUGAUAAGCUUAGGCUUUAUGCCAUUAUUUAUAUUAUGUGACACUAGGUAGAAGGGUUAUUCUAACCUGUACUUUGAUUUGAGGUUCACAAUAUCAAGGAGUAUUUGUAUUUCACUAUCUAAUUGAGAGUUGAGUGAGUCUGUGAUGAAGGAACUUCAUUAAUUUCUGUUAGGAACCUGAUUUUCUUUUGCUCAGUAACUGAUAAACCCUUUUACUUUGGAUUCAUGAACUUUUUUAACUUUUUGUCUCAGUGUCCAUGAAAGGUUACAUUAGAGCAAAAUUUGUCUACUUAAGUUUUCUGGUAGACUUAAAGGACUUUGGGAUCAGUCUGUGUUAGGACAAAUGUAAGGGAAAAUGGGAAGAGAGAUUGUG
rnacentral:lncRNA from 1 species